rnacentral:antisense_RNA from 1 species
CUUCACGGAGCCGAGGAGCAGCGGUCGGCCCUCCUCGCGCUCCUGGCCGUACGUGGCCAGCAGCGCCUGCGCCUC